CCCUUCCCCUCCCCACAACAGACACCCUGUGAGGUAGGCGGGGCUGAUAAGAGUUCUAUCGCAAUCUGCUCUUGAGAGAGCAGCUCUGAGAGAACUUGCGACUGACCCAAGGUCACAUCAGCAGGUGCAAGUGGAGGAGUGGGGAAUCAAACUCGGUUCUCCCAGAUAAGAGUCCGCACAUGUAACCACUGCACCAAACUAGCUCUCA